UACGUAGGGUGCGAGCGUUGUCCGGAAUUAUUGGGCGUAAAGGGCUCGUAGGCGGUUUGUCGCGUCGGGAGUGAAAACACUGGGCUUAACUCAGUGCUUGCUUCCGAUACGGGCAGACUAGAGGUAUGCAGGGGAGAACGGAAUUCCUGGUGUAGCGGUGAAAUGCGCAGAUAUCAGGAGGAACACCGGUGGCGAAGGCGGCGAUCUGGGAAGAUACUGACGCUGAGGUGCGAAAGCGUGGGGAGCAAACAGG
rnacentral:rRNA from 1 species